rnacentral:rRNA from 1 species
AUUGAACGCUGGCGGCAGGCCUAACACAUGCAAGUCGAGCGCGAAAGUCUUCGGAUGAGUAAAGCGGCGAACGGGUGAGUAAUGCAUGGGAAUCUGCCUGGUAGUGGGGGACAACGUCUCGAAAGGGACGCUAAUACCGCAUACGCCCUACGGGGGAAAGGGGGGGAGUCUUCGGACCUCUCGCUAUCAGAUGAGCCCAUGUCAGAUUAGCUAGUUGGUGAGGUGAAGGCUCACCAAGGCGACGAUCUGUAACUGGUCUGAGAGGAUGAUCAGUCACACUGGAACUGAGACACGGUCCAGACUCCUACGGGAGCAGCAGUGGGGAAUCUUAGCGCAAUGGGCGAAAGCCUGACGCAGCCAUGCCGCGUGAAUGAUGAAGGUCUUAGGAUUGUAAAAUUCUUUCACCGGGGACGAUAAUGACGGUACCCGAGAAGAAGCCCCGGCUAACUUCGUGCCAGCAGCCGCGGUAAU